GUCGAGAAUCUUCCGCGAUGCGCGAAAGCGUGACGGAGCGACACCGCGUGAUGGAUGAAGUCCUUCGGGGCGUAAACAUCUUUUAUAAAGGAGGAAAUUUUUGACGUUACUUUAUGAAUAAGGGGCUCCCAAUCUCGUGCCAGCAGGAGCGGUAAUACGAGAGCCUCAAGCGUUAUCCGGAAUCAUUGGGCGUAAAGGGUGCGUAGGUGGUUUGAUUAGUCUCCCGUUAAAACUUCGAGCUUAACUCGAAAAGAGCGGGGGAAACGGUCAAACUAGAGUAUGUGAGAGGUGUGUGGAACUCAUGGUGUAGGGGUGAAAUCCGUUGAUAUCAUGGGGAACACCAAAAGCGAAGGCAGCACACUGGCACAUCACUGACACUGAGGCACGAAACCUAAGGUAGCGAAUGGGAUUAGAAACCCUGGUAGUCC
rnacentral:rRNA from 1 species